ACAGCUCACUGGUCAAACGCAUGUGCGCGGACAAUUGAACGGGGCUAAGCCGUCCACCGAAGCGAGAGACUCGAGAGAGUGGUAGGGGAGCGUUCCAACAACGGUGAAGGCGCACUCGUGAGAGGCGUUGGAGUGGUUGGAAGUGAGAAUGCUGGUAUGAGUAGCGAAAUGGGAGUGCGAACCUCCCACACCGAAUAUCUAAGGUUUCCGACGGAAGGU
rnacentral:rRNA from 14 species